GCUUGUGCUCAGCUGCACGGUCCUGGCCCUCAAGUGCGCCGAGGGCGGUGAGAGAGCUCAACUCCUGCCACCCAUCACUCCCCGGGUGAGGGAUGACCCAGGCUGGGGGUGGCCGGGUGGGAGCUCGUCGCUGCGUGGUCCGUGCGCGGUCCUGGAAUCUAUUCUCCUGGAGGCUCGCGUUCGCACCUCCUUCUUCGCUAUCCCCCUCCCACAGGCUUGCUCUGGAAACCACCUCUGCCUCCGACUCUGGCCGGACCCCCUUCGGGGCCAGGGUUCGCAGCCGUGGAUGUGCCUGCCUCGUGGCUUGCCCGAUUUGCACGGUGACUUGAUUACACGCUCGCAUUCAUGGUCACUUCCGAAGCGCUUUAGUGCCUUCCGUCCCUAAACCGCCAACAACCAGGGCGGCUUCCCCCGCGGUUUGUCAGGCAUCUGCAGGUCCCGGAAGGGCCUUCGUCUUACCCGGGAUCCACCUCCACUUCAUUCUCCCCGCCGGCCUCCUCACUCCACCCCCUGCCCUUGAAGAACCCCCCACCCCCUCCUCCCCGCUGCCUGCCGGGGUUCGGAGUCGCCCGGCAGAGCCGGGGGCUGUGGGGGCUGCGCCACGGUGCACGGGUCCGCCCGCCUGCCUGGUCUCAUGGAGCUGAGGACCCGGGAAGCCGUGCGGUUGAGGCGAGCCUUGGGCUGCUUUAGGGGCGCUGACAGCCGAGGAGCGUUUUCCUGGCGUGAGAGCCAGUGACGUGCGGGGAGAAACUCAGAAGGCUCGGCGCCUUUUCUGCUACUCGUCCCACAGAAGAAACACAAUGCCAGAGGAAAGAGCGCUGCUUCCCAAACUCGCGGGACCGGGGGUGACAAGAACGCCUCGGAAAGGCUAGAUUUGAGCCCAAGGUAGAGACAGGGGCCAUAGCUGCUAGUAGGAGUCUUAGCUUUCUUGGGAAAAAGAAAGAAAAAAAUUUUCACCAAAAAAAUUAUGGUGAAAAAUGCUUGCCAUCCUGCAGGAUUGAAUUAUCAACGUUUGGGAGAAGUGAAAGAGGGCAUAGGGCUGCCAGGCAGGACCGCAGCUGGGAGGGGCCCAGCCCUGGGGCGUCCCCACACCUAUCUUCUUGGAAGGAGCUGGAUGUCGCUGAAGCAAAGUUGAAAAAUGAAAAAGGAUAACCUUUUCCCUUUCCCCAUCCAGGAAAUAGCUGAAGGAGGCCCUACACCCGAACUGAGCCCACCCUGCUCAGGGGAAGACCUGACGGGUGCUAAGGCCACCUGGAAUGCCAAGUCCGAGUUGUAUUUCUUAAAGAGAUGGAGUGGAUGAGGCUGUGACAUUGGCCCCUGCCGACUGGUUUCCCACGAGCUGUUCUCUCUCAGGAGCUCCGCAAAGCGGAGCCAUCUCCAGAAAGCAAUCUUCAGCAUGUAUUUCCUUUUAUCCUCAACCCAGAGCCCCACGGCAGCUAAUGCAAAAGGCCAAAAAUGUUUUGGAGGAAGAAAAACAAAGGCAGGAAGUGGCGGCGGCCUGACGGUGCGUGUGUGUCUGCGGAGAAGGGAGGGAGCCGUUUCAAUCUCUUCUUGUUGUUUUUCCAAACUUCAAGGUCUAGGCAGCCCUCGCAGGGCCGGGCCCUUUCGUUCCCCAAGCCGCGUUUGGAGAUGGCCACCCGGAGAGGAGAAGGCUGGCGCCCCCGCGUCAGCGUGGUCAGGCGGAAACGGCUAACGAGGCGAUUUGCUCAGCAAAGCAGACCGAGCCUUUGCAAGGCUCCGUGUGAUUUGGCCUUAAAUGGGGGGCUGGGGGGUGGGGGUGGGGGUUGAGGGGUUCGGCAGCACCUCCCGGAUCCUCCUGCUGGGGCUGAAUGCAUCUUGGUGCAGAUGAUCCUUGCGUCCUACACUCCACCCACCUCCCCAGGCAGGAUACUGGAAUAAAUUGUGUCCAGGUGUCUCUGCCCAGCA